GGAUAACUACCCUUUAGGACCGGGAUAACUUUGGGAAACUGAGGAUAAUACCGGAUAGGCAAUUAUUCCUGGAAUGGUUUUUUGUUUAAAUGUUUUUUCGCCUAAGGAUGGGUCUGCGGCCGAUUAGGUAGUUGGUUAGGUAACGGCUUACCAAGCCAUUGAUCGGUACGGGUUGUGAGAGCAAGAGCCCGGAGAUGGAACCUGAGACAAGGUUCCAGGCCCUACGGGGUGCAGCAGGCGCGAAACCUCCGCAAUGUGAGAAAUCGCGACGGGGGGAUCCCAAGUGCCAUUCUUAACGGGAUGGCUUUUCAUUAGUGUAAAGAGCUUUUGGAAUAAGGGCUGGGCAAGACCGGUGCCAGCCGCCGCGGUAACACCGGCAGCUCUAGUGGUAGCAGUUCUUAUUGGGCCUAAAGCGUCCGUAGCCGGUUUAAUAAGUCUCUGGUGAAAUCCUGUAGCUUAACUGUGGGAAUUGCUGGAGAUACUAUUAGACUUGAGACCGGGAGAGGUUAGAGGUACUCCCAGGGUAGAGGUGAAAUUCUGUAAUCCUGGGAGGACCGCCUGUUGCGAAGGCGUCUAACUGAAACGGUUCUGACGGUGAGGGACGAAAGUUAGGGGCGCGAACCGGAUUAGAUACCCGGGUAGUCCUAACCGUAAACGAUGCGGACUUGGUGUUGGGGUGGCUUUGAGCUGCUCCAGUGCCGAAGGGAAGCUGUUAAGUCCGCCGCCUGGGAAGUACGGUCGCAAGACUGAAACUUAA
rnacentral:rRNA from 1 species